rnacentral:rRNA from 1 species
AUUGAACGCUGGCGGCGUGCUUAACACAUGCAAGUCGAUCGGUAACAGGUGUAGCAAUACAUGCUGACGAGAGGCGGACGGGUGAGUAAUGCUUGGGAAUCUGCCUAUUAGUGGGGGACAACCCGGGGAAACUCGGGCUAAUACCGCAUACGCUCUACGGAGGAAAGCCGGGGACCGCAAGGCCUGGCGCUAAUAGAUGAGCCCAAGUCGGAUUAGCUAGUUGGUAGGGUAACGGCCUACCAAGGCGACAAUCCGUAGCUGGUCUGAGAGGACGACCAGCCACACCGGAACUGAGACACGGUCCGGACUCCUACGGGAGGCAGCAGUGGGGAAUAUUGGACAAUGGGGGCAACCCUGAUCCAGCGACGCCGCGUGGGUGAAGAAGGCCUGCGGGUUGUAAAGCCCUUUCGGUGGGGAA